AAAGAAAUUAAAGGGGUGUUAUGAAAUACUUUAAGGAUAAGCCACAGCUGGUCGCAGUGUAGGUUUGCGGUAACUAAUCGGGAUUUUUUCCCAAACGGGGCUCUGAAGAGAUCUUAUGCUUAUGGGAAUUUAAACUUUCACGUUUUAUUUUUCAGAGCGCCGGACGUUCGAGAGCAACGUUUCGCAACAGUGUAUUUUUGAGUGUGAGGCCGCUGCUCCGUUGCAGUGCGCAGUUGUAGGUGCUGUCCGUGGUUCUGAAUCGGAUAAAAGCGUUUUAGCCCCAGCCACGGCCUCACUCUACUACAGGAGACAAAUGUCUGUCGUCGUCGGCAACAACAGCAACAUUAUGCGUUUUGCUGGCUGUGUGAGGCAUGUGAAACUUUGAAUUGCCGUUGGUGUAUCUAGAUGACAUCUGUCGCCAGACCUUAUUAAGGAAAAUACAUAUCCCGUCAUGCAAGCGGUCCACGUGUUCUGAGUGAACCAAUCAGCAAGCUGUAGCUCGGCGCAGGCGUAUAUAACAGCGGAGCGGCCUUCAUUACGUCCUCUCCCUCUUCGCGUCUACCACGAGGAGGAAGAAAAGUUGCUGUGUAAAUUCUGGUAUCUGUUAACAGAAGAGAGAAAAAAAUGACCCACUCACUCGCAGGUGAGUGCUGCUGCCCAGAAGGGAUGAAAAGACAACAGCCUAUGCCAAAGGCAACCUGCCACCAUCCAAGUAUUGGCUAACUCUGAAUGUGGAGAACGUGACCACAAUACACUCAGGUGCCGUGUUGCUGACUAUAGGGGAAUGCCUCCUGUGCCAAAUGCUACCUGCCACCACCUUCAAAGAAUCACUUGACUUAUAAGUUAAGGACGAAUCUCUUGAGUAUAGACUCGUCUCCUGGACAAGAUGCAGAGGCUUGAGUACAUGGUGAACUGUUGCAGGCCAAACAAAUUUCCACCUCCAUUAAUAGAACUGGUGUUCUUUUGAUUUUUUUUAUUUUAAUACAAUGUAAAAUUAAAAUGACUUGAUGUAUUGCCUGUGUUGAGGUAAUAAAACUUGAAACAACUUU